GCCGCGUGCGGGAAGAAGGCCUUCGGGUUGUAAACCGUCUUUAGUCGGGAAGAAAACGACCACACCUAAGUACGGGUGGUUCUUGACGGUACCGGCGGAAUAAGCACCGGCUAACUACGUGCCAGCAGCCGCGGUAAUACGUAGGGUGCGAGCGUUAAUCGGAAUUACUGGGCGUAAAGCGUGCGCAGGCGGUUCGUUAAGUUCGAUGUGAAAGCCCCGGGCUCAACCUGGGAAUGGCAUUGAAAACUGGCGGGCUUGAGUCUGGCAGAGGGGGGUGGAAUUCCGCGUGUAGCAGUGAAAUGCGUAGAGAUGCGGAGGAACACCGAUGGCGAAGGCAGCCCCCUGGGCCAAGACUGACGCUCAGGCACGAAAGCGUGGGGAGCAAACAGGAUUAGAUACCCUGGUAGUCCACGCCCUAAACGAUGCUCACUAGGUGUUGGGGAAGCGAUUCCUUGGUACCGUAGCUAACGCGUGAAGUGAGCCGCCUGGGGAGUACGGCCGCAAGGUUA
rnacentral:rRNA from 1 species